rnacentral:sRNA from 1 species
UAGGAAAGUCCAAAGCUUUUUAGGUAUAUGCAUAUUUAAGUUAUAUUUAGAUUUAAAUAUGAUUUGUAAAUAUACAAAGGUGAAAACCUUGGUUCUAUACAGAAAAUACAUAUUAUACUAGUUAUUAUGUAUAUAAGGAAACAAUAGUUUAUUUUUCAUAACAUAGUAUAAUAAUGAAAUAUAAAGCCUAUAUCUAGCCUUUGUUUAGUUUUAUCUACAGUUACAGAAAUUGGCUUAU